GCUGCAACUCGCCUGCAUGAAGCUGGAAUUGCUAGUAAUCGCGGAUCAGCAUGCCGCGGUGAAUACGUUCCCGGGCCUUGUACACACCGCCCGUCACACCAUGGGAGUCGGAAAUGCCCGAAGCCGGUGACCCAACCAAAAGGAGGGAGCCGUCGAAGGCAGGUCUGAUAACUGGGGUGAAGUCGUAACAAGGUACC
rnacentral:rRNA from 1 species